rnacentral:rRNA from 1 species
UACGAAGGGGCUAGCGUUGCUCGGAAUUACUGGGCGUAAAGCGCACGUAGGCGGUCUUUUAAGUCGGGGUGAAAUCCUGGAGCUCAACUCCAGACUGCCUUCGAUACUGGAAGACUUGAGUCCGGGAGAGGUGAGUGGAACUGCGAGUGUAGAGGUGAAAUUCGUAGAUAUUCGCAAGAACACCAGUGGCGAAGGCGGCUCACUGGCCCGGUUCUGACGCUGAGGCGCGAAAGCGUGGGAGCAAACAGG